rnacentral:tRNA from 1 species
UUAAUCGAAGCCAAAUAAGAGGCAUUUUAUUGUUAAUAAAAAUACUGAAAAAUUUUCCGGUUAAA